ensembl:lncRNA
GCCUGAAUGCGAUGUGGAAAACUUUGUUGUCUAUUGGGAAACACUCCUUACAGAAAAAGAAUAAAAUCCUAAUUUUAAAGAUUUUUUCAUGGGUUUAUUCGAGACAGAGAUAGGUUCCCAUCCAGUUCCCUGCGAUGUUGAAGGAAAGAUAUUGUAUAAAAGAUAUACUACCUGCAGGAAGACCUUCAUGGAAGAAGUAUCAGUCCAAAAGGAAAAAUCUUUUCUUUCUUCCUCACCAGCUUCUUUGAGUUAUGAAGGGUUCGCUAAGAAAUAUUUGCUUCUGAUUCAGUUAUCUUUCCUUUUCAGCCCUGGAUAUUUUCCUGCAUCUCAUCUUCAACAGAAAACUGCCUGUCUGAAUGCUGCUUGUUGCUAAUUUACAGUUGUCACUCCUGAGUCUGCCCAGGAUUCCAUACUGCCUGGCUGGUCUUCAAUGCUCCUCUCACUUUGGAAGAAAGAUGAUGCCUCCCACCUCUCUGGUUGGUGCCAGGGCUUUUUGGCUGCAGGCUUCUCUGGGAGGCAAUUGUUCUCAGUUCGGGGCUGUUGAACAACACUCCUUAGGAAAAACUCCUCUCCUCUUUGCUCUCAGAGACCUGCACUCCUCUCAGAGUUGUAGCACAACUUCAAAAGGGAGGGUUAGGAAUGGAUAUCCUCCUCUAGGAUACUACAGCACACCAAAAGAGGUGAAUUUGAGUCACCUGAGACCAGAAAAUGUGUUGAAUACAGAUCUCCAACUUCCUGAGUAAAUGCUCUAACCACACAGCUCCUAUAUAACUGGUCAGUGUUUCC